GAAAUGCCUCCAUGAGAUCCAGUUGUAAGGCAUUUUCUCAAUUAGUGAUCAAUGAAGGGGCAGCCCAUUGUGGCUGGGGCCAUCCCUGGGCUGGUGAUCCUG
rnacentral:miRNA from 1 species